rnacentral:misc_RNA from 1 species
GAAAGCUAUUGUCUAUGCAUUUACAAAAUUAAUCUACCAUUUUGAAAAGAAGGGGUAGCUAACUAACAAAACUUUGUUGAAGCUAGGAUUGAGGCUAGGAAUUCAGGUGGGCGAUUCGGCCAAGAGAAGGGUGUGCCACCAUCCGCAGGCAACAUUUUUAGGAAUGCAAUUCUCCAUUGGGACUUCGACAGGAAUAUUACGGUCGAUUACAUCACCCAAACCUAGCUGGCCAUACUUGUUCCAUCCCCAGCA